GUCUGCUUUGGCAGCACACAUGCUGAAAUUGUACUGUACUGAGAAGAUUAGCGUGGUCCCUGCACAGGGAUGAUAUGCAAAUUUGCGAGGUAUUCCGUUAAAAA